GACAUCUUCGGAUUCUUCCUGCCCCAAAUUUCCAUGAUUCUGAAGAUCUCAGUAGUCGACCAUUAGAAGUCAGCUGGGCUCCGCUUGGAGGUCUGCUUAGCACAGAUAAAGACAGUCCCGCUGGACGUGUGAGCUCAUUGCAAGACUUGGAGGAGGCCAGCGCCAGUGCCUCCCAAGAAGUGGCAAGGGUACAGAGAAAAUCAGGCCCUGGAGAGGGGCUCGGAUGGCUGCAGUGGGGGGAGCCGGCCUGAGCAGGUGUUGGUGGAUCUGGGGAAGGCUACACCGUGGCUGCUGGAACAUGUGUCCUAGGGAAGAGAUGGGGUGGAUGUGCCUCUGCAUCCCCCCUGCCCAGAGCAAGCCAGUCACAGAGGAAACACUCUGGAAAAAUGCUGAGUAUGUGACAAAUAGCCUAAGCCGGGCGCAUCGAGG
rnacentral:lncRNA from 1 species